rnacentral:rRNA from 1 species
UCCUACGGGGGGCAGCAGUGGGGAAUAUUGCACAAUGGGGGAAACCCUGAUGCAGCGACGCCGCGUGAGCGAUGAAGUAUCUCGGUAUGUAAAGCUCUAUCAGCAGGGAAGAAAGUGACAGUACCUGACUAAGAAGCCCCGGCUAACUACGUGCCAGCAGCCGCGGUAAUACGUAGGGGGCAAGCGUUAUCCGGAUUUACUGGGUGUAAAGGGAGCGUAGACGGCUGUGCAAGUCUGAAGUGAAAUGCCAGGGCUCAACCCCGGAACUGCUUUGGAAACUGUACAGCUAGAGUGCAGGAGGGGUG